rfam:Phlebia centrifuga strain FBCC195 PHLCENscaffold_2975, whole genome shotgun sequence.
AAGAGCGUAGUAUAACUGGUUAGUAUUGUGAUCUCCAAAAUCAUCGUUAGGUGUUCAAAUCACCUCGCUCUUG